UAAAACGUCAGGGAACGGAACACAAACAAGGACAGCACAGGGCAUUGACCUAGCUGGCUUUGAAAAUCAAAUUUGAGUUUCUUUGUAAACUUGGACCUUGCCAUUGCCAAUUAGUGUUAGCAAGAAAACAACUAUCUCUGCUUGCUGUAGAAAAUCAGUUUUUUAUUUUAUACUAACAUCUCUAAAAUGGAUAGGAACAAUAAUAAAAUGGAUUUGCAGCAAAGAAUGCCCUUUUCAAAAAAUAUAAAUUAAAAAAAAAUUCUUUUCCUAAUAGAUUGCUGUAAUAUAAAGAACAAAAUGGUCCAACCAAUAGGAAGAGAAGGAGGCUUAUUAGAGUAAAAUCAGGCUUUGGGAAAUACCAAGAAUUUCCACUAAAU
rnacentral:lncRNA from 1 species